ACGCCGUCCCGAGCGGCGUUUCCGGCCUCGCAGGGCCAUGGCCGCGGGGGUGGUGCCGUGUCGGCGCAGCACCACCCCCGCUCC
rfam:Streptomyces phaeoluteigriseus strain DSM 41896 Scaffold_16, whole genome shotgun sequence.